rnacentral:rRNA from 1 species
GAUGAACGCUGGCGGCGUGCCUAAUACAUGCAAGUCGAGCGAACGGACGAGAGGCUUGCUUUUCUGAUGUUAGCGGCGGACGGGUGAGUAACACGUGGAUAACCUACCUAUAAGACUGGGAUAACUUCGGGAAACCGGAGCUAAUACCGGAUAAUAUUUUGAACCGCAUGGUUCAAAAGUGAAAGACGGUCUUGCUGUCACUUAUAGAUGGAUCCGCGCUGCAUUAGCUAGUUGGUAAGGUAACGGCUUACCAAGGCAACGAUGCAUAGCCGACCUGAGAGGGUGAUCGGCCACACUGGAACUGAGACACGGUCCAGACUCCUACGGGAGGCAGCAGUAGGGAAUCUUCCGCAAUGGGCGAAAGCCUGACGGAGCAACGCCGCGUGAGUGAUGAAGGUCUUCGGAUCGUAAAACUCUGUUAUUAGGGAAGAACAUAUGUGUAAGUAACUGUGAACAUCUUGACGGUACCUAAUCAGAAAGCCACGGCUAACUACGUG